UACGUAGGGUGCAAGCGUUAAUCGGAAUUACUGGGCGUAAAGCGUGCGUAGGCGGUUCGCUGUGUCCGAUGUGAAAGCCCCGGGCUCAACCUGGGAAUUGCAUUUGAGACUGCGUAGCUAGGGUGCGGAAGAGGGAAGCGGAAUUUCCGGUGUAGCGGUGAAAUGCGUAGAUAUCGGAAGGAACACCAGUGGCGAAAGCGGCUUCCUGGUCCAGCACCGACGUCAGGCACGAAAGCGUGGGGAGCAAACAGG
rnacentral:rRNA from 1 species